UACGUAGGUGGCGAGCGUUGUCCCGAUUUACUGGGCGUAAAGAGCGCGCAGGCGGUCGUUCAAGUCGCGUGUGAAAGCCCCCGGCUCAACUGGGGAGGGUCACGCGAUACUGAUCGACUCGAAGGCAGGAGAGGGAAGUGGAAUUCCCGGUGUAGUGGUGAAAUGCGUAGAUAUCGGGAGGAACACCAGUGGCGAAGGCGACUUCCUGGCCUGUUCUUGACGCUGAGGCGCGAAAGCUAGGGGAGCAAACGGG
rnacentral:rRNA from 1 species